rnacentral:misc_RNA from 1 species
AAUUCUCAACUCCUCUCGAUCGACUUCGAGUGGAGCUUGGAUGGUGGGGGCUGCCGGAGACCUGAAUAUUCGUGUUCGGGACUCGGGCUCCUCUGAAAUGUAUUGGCUUGCGGUCUGUUUUCGACUUUGCAUGACAAGGCUUUUGGCGUGAUAAUAAUCGCCGCUCGCCGAAGUGCAUGAAUGAAACCGUGCCGUGCCUCUAAUCCGUCGAUGCCUCUAUGGGGCGUCUUCUUUAUGC